rnacentral:tRNA from 1 species
GCAGGUGUGGCUGAAUAGUUACGCUGCCCGCUUUGUAAGUGGGUGAUCAUAGGUUCGAUUCCCAUCUGCUCCA